UACGGGGGGGAGCAAGCGUUGUUCGGAUUUACUGGGCGUAAAGGGCGCGUAGGCGGCCACCGCAAGUCGACUGUGAAAUCUCCGGGCUUAACUCGGAAAGGUCAGCCGAUACUGCGGGGCUAGAGUGCAGAAGGGGCAACUGGAAUUCUCGGUGUAGCGGUGAAAUGCGCAGAUAUCAGGAGGAACACCGGUGGCGAAGGCGGGUCUCUGGGCCUUAACUGACGCUGAGGAGCGAAAAGCGUGGGGGAGCGAACAGG
rnacentral:rRNA from 1 species